UACGGAGGGUGCAAGCGUUAUCCGGAUUUACUGGGUUUAAAGGGAGCGCAGGCGGAUUGGUAAGUCAGUGGUGAAAUACCCGUGCUUAACAUGGGAACUGCCAUUGAUACUAUCAGUCUUGAAUGUUGUUGAGGUUUGCGGAAUGGGUCAUGUAGCGGUGAAAUGCAUAGAUAUGACCCGGAACACCUAUUGCGAAGGCAGCAGGCUAAACAAAUAUUGACGCUGAGGCUCGAAAGCGUGGGGAUCAAACAGGAUUAGAUACCCUGGUAGUCCACGCCCUAAACGAUGAUUACUCGACAUUUGUGAUACACAAUAAGUGUCUGAGCGAAAGCAUUAAGUAAUCCACCUGGGAAGUACGACCGCAAGGUUGAA
rnacentral:rRNA from 1 species